rnacentral:rRNA from 1 species
UGGCGGACGGGUGAGGAAUACAUCGGAAUCUACUCUGUCGUGGGGGAUAACGUAGGGAAACUUACGCUAAUACCGCAUACGACCUACGGGUGAAAGCAGGGGAUCUUCGGACCUUGCGCGAUUGAAUGAGCCGAUGUCGGAUUAGCUAGUUGGCGGGGUAAAGGCCCACCAAGGCGACGAUCCGUAGCUGGUCUGAGAGGAUGAUCAGCCACACUGUAACUGAGACACGGUCCAGACUCCUACGGGAGGCAGCAGUC